rfam:Triticum aestivum genome assembly, contig: Triticum_aestivum_CS42_TGACv1_scaffold_217600_3AS
AAAGUACUCCCUCCAUCCCAAAAUUAUUGUCUUAGAUUUAUCUAUAUACAGAUGUAUCAACUCACAUUUUAGUAUUAGAUACAUCCGUAUCUAGACAAAUCUAAGACAAGAAAUUUGGGACAGAGGGAGUAGUUG